CUACGGGCCGCAGCAGUUAGGAAUAAUCUACAAUGCACGAAAGUGUGAUAGUUUGAGCCAGAGUGCCUUACAUUGUAAGGCUUUUGUGGAGUGUAAAAAGCUCCACGAAUAAGGACUGGGUAAGACUAGUGCCAGCCGCCGCGGUAAUACUAGCGGUCCAAGUCGCAGCCAUUUUUAUUGGGUCUAAAACAUCCGUAGCUUGCUAUGUAAGUUUCUUGUGAAAUUUUGUGUCUUAAGCAUGAAGCGUGCAAGAAAUACUGCGUAGCUAGGGACUGGAAGACGUAACGAGUACGUUCAAGGUAUUAGUGAAAUGAGUUAAUCUUGAACGGACUAACAAUAGCGAAGGCACGUUACGAGGACAGAUCUGACAGUAAGGGAUGAAGGCUAGGGGCGCAAAACGGAUUAGAUACCCGAGUAGUC
rnacentral:rRNA from 1 species